rnacentral:rRNA from 1 species
ACGGCUCAGUAACACGUGGUCAACAUACCCAGAGGACGUGGAUAACCUCGGGAAACUGAGGAUAAACCGCGAUAGACCAUAAUGUCUGGAAUGAUUUAUGGUUCAAAUCUAUAUGGCCUCUGGAUUGGACUGCGGCCGAUCAGGCUGUUGGUGAGGUAAUGGCCCACCAAACCUGAAACCGGUACGGGCUCUGAGAGGAGAAGCCCGGAGAUGGGCACUGAGACAAGGGCCCAGGCCCUAUGGGGCGCAGCAGGCGCGAAACCUUUGCAAUAGGCGAAAGCCUGACAAGGUUACUCUGAGUGAUCUCCGCUAAGGAAAUCUUUUGACACCUCUAAAAAUGGUGUAGAAUAAGGGGUGGGCAAGCCUGGUGUCAGCCGCCGCGGUAAUACCAGCACCCCGAGUGGUCGGGACGAUUAUUGGGCCUAAAGCAUCCGUAGCCGGUUCUUUAAGUCCUCCGUUAAAUCCACCUGCUUAACAGAUGGGCUGCGGAGGAUACUAUAGAGCUAGGAGGCGGGAGAGGCAAGCGGUACUCAGUGGGUAGGGGUAAAAUCCGUUGAUCCAUUGAAGACCACCAGUGGCGAAGGCGGCUUGCCAGAACGCGCUCGACGGUGAGGGAUGAAAGCUGGGGGAGCAAACCGGAUUAGAUACCCGGGUAGUCCCAGCUGUAAACGAUGCGCGUUAGGUGUAUCGGUGACCACGAGUCACCGAGGUGCCGAAGAGAAAUCGUGAAACGUGCCGCCUGGGAAGUACGGUCGCAAGGCUGAAACUUAAAGGAAUUGGCGGGGGAG